rnacentral:lncRNA from 1 species
CGAGUCACAGCAUUCCAGCCUGGGCUACAAAGCAAGACUGCGUGUCAGAAAAAGAAAAGAAAAAUGGAUUCAAAGAUUUAUCACUGUUAAGUUCCACCAGCAAAUUAUUAAAUGUGGUUCCAAAGGGAUAUUUAAAAAGGGAAAUUAAAAUUGUUUCCAAGAAAGCCCUAUUCACAGCAGAAACGUAGACACUGUACCUGACCUCACCACACAAAGUUCCCUCAUGUGUUGGGAGGGACCAAGGGGCUCUCUGGUCCUGCACCUGCGUUAAUUAUGGCCGGGAGGUCCGCAGUAGGACCCUAAGGGCUAGGAACCAGCCUGGGUCAGGGGCAGAGAAGUGGUGGAUGUGGCUCCCAAAGUGGCUUAGGGGUUCCCUUCCCUGUGGCUGUUUCCUGACUGGAUGCAGCAGGGUCAGGCCUUUCAGUGUGACGUUUUCUACUCUUUAUUAGAGUGGCAGGAGCGUCCCUGUGCGAGGCCUGACCCAGGUGUGGGCCUUGCAGCCAGCUCGGGGUCCAAGGGGCACUCCUGCGGUGCUGCAAAGGAGGAUUUGUGACAACCCAGAGGAUGGAGGAAACGGCGGCUUUGAAAAGGCAAGUGCCAAGUUAUCAGGGAUCGCUUAUAUCCAUUUCUGGCAGUGAACUGACAAUUUCAGACACUCAGGAGGGAGCUUCCCGCGUGGGAUCACAAAAAGUCCGAGAAGUGUCAGACAUCUGGCCAUUAACCCCAUUCCUACGCAGGGACUACACUGCCGCUUGUCCGAAGGGGCGUGUCAGGGGCGGAGCGAGGAUGAGGGGCGGUGCCAAUAAAAGAGGCGGGGGAGAAGGGGCGGUGCUGAGGGGAGAGGCCGGGCCAAGGGAAGAAGCGUGCGAGAAAGGGUGGGGCGAGUCCAGCUACAGGAAGAGUAGCGUUACUAUGGCAACCCUGACAGGUUUGUGAGCAGCCCCCGGUCCCCUGCCGCUCCGUGAGAAAUCAAACUUCAGGCACUGACGAAGCAUGAAGCCAGCAUCUUAGGAAGAGGUAGUGACAUAAUUACAAGGGCGACCGGAUUACAAUCACAGCCAGCAUGAACAUGGGGCGGCGCACAGUCCUGAAGAGGAAAGCCGGGCUGUGUUGACCUCGCUGUGCAUGCUGGGAGUUGUAGUCUCUUCACUGCUCCCGCCCGUUGUUUCAGGCACUUCGGGACUACAAUCCCAGCAUGACCCGGGCUCGGGGACGGGGCGCAGUUCUCGUGGGAGGAGCGGGGCGGUGAGAGCCUGGCUAGGCAGGCUGGAAACAGUAGCUCUUAACGGUCCCCCGCCCGUUGGUGGCAAGGCGGCUGGACUGGAAUCCCAGCAGGCGACAUGCGAGGAGGCGGGCAGCCCAGGAGGGUUGGACACGGCAAUGUGGACCUCGCCGCUUCCACAACGAUGCUGGCUACUGAUCGCGUGCACUUCCUUGCCAAAGAAAAGAAAUUAAUGUUAUGACUGGAUGAAGACAAUUGUGAAGAAACUGCACUUUGAGGUUGUCUAUCUCUGUAUUCUGAUGGAAAAGCGUGGAGUUUAGAAGCACUGCUCACUCCUUCAGUUUCUAACAAGUUUGAGACUAUGGUUAGGUGGUGAGGAAGGCAGGCUCAGCACCCAAGCCUUGGGGAGACGCAGAAAGGGCCCAUCCCAGGCACUCAGGUGGAGAAAUUCACUGGUAUAGGUUUCCCUCAAAACACUGCUUUCACCAGUUUCCGUAAGUUUUACGUUUUGGUUACAUUGUCAUUUAUGUUAAAACACUUUCUGAUAAGUAUUUGUGGUUUUCUUUUGAUCCAUAAAUUAUUUGGGAUUUUGCCAUUUAAUGUCCACAUACUUAAGAGUCUCCUAAAUUUCUUGCUUUCAUUGAUCUCUGAUUCUAUUAUGAUUAGAAAUCACCCAUUGUAUUAUCUCAAUCUCUAUUUUUACUGAUGUUUUAUGGCCCAGCAGGUGGUCUGUCCUAGAGAACGUUCCAUGUGGAUUUGAGAAGAAUAUAUAUUCUCAUGUUGGAUGCAGUGCUGUGCAUAUGUUUGUUAGGUUUAGUUGUUUUAUGUUGUUGUUCAUGUUUUCUAUUUUUUAUCUUCUGUCUACUUGUUCUAUCCAUUAAUAUAAGUGAAGCAUUAAAGUCUCCAACUAUUACUGUUGAAUUA